rnacentral:rRNA from 1 species
AGAGUUUGAUCAUGGCUCAGAUUGAACGCUAGCGGCAUGCUUUACACAUGCAAGUCGAACGGCAGCGCGGGGCAACCUGGCGGCGAGUGGCGAACGGGUGAGUAAUACAUCGGAACGUACCCUGUGAUGGGGGAUAACCACGCGAAAGCGUGACUAAUACCGCAUACGACCCAAGGGUGAAAGUGGGGGAUCGCAAGACCUCACGUCAUAGGAGCGGCCGAUGGCGGAUUAGCUAGUUGGUGAGGUAAAGGCUCACCAAGGCGACGAUCCGUAGC